AUACAGAGGGUGCGAGCGUUAAUCGGAAUUACUGGGCGUAAAGCGCGCGUAGGUGGUUAUGUAAGUUGGAUGUGAAAGCCCCGGGCUUAACCUGGGAAUUGCAUUCAAAACUGCAUGGCUAGAGUCUGAUAGAGGGAAGUGGAAUUUCCGGUGUAGCGGUGAAAUGCGUAGAUAUCGGAAGGAACACCAGUGGCGAAGGCGACUUCCUGGGCCAAUACUGACGCUGAGGUGCGAAAGCGUGGGGAGCAAACAGGAUUAGAAACCCCGGUAGUCC
rnacentral:rRNA from 1 species